CCGAUGGUCAUAUUGCCGGGGCAGCUUACACUAAAACAAGUACUUCAGUCUUUUUUUUUUUUUGGGCAGACUUUCAUAUUUGCCUUGGCCCCUCCUCUCCCAAUUCUCAUCCCUACUGUCACGCGACUUGGCAGAGGCGGAGAGCUGGCAGGAGGAGGUACAGUCCUGCGGCUCUCUCUGCUCCUCUACAAAUAAAGGGUUCUUCGUCCCAGCUCCCACCUGGAGGAGGGAGAAGCCCUCGCUCAAUCCAGCCUGGCUUUGCUCGCCCAGCCAGCGACGCGUCUCUGCCUCUCCCAAGACAGCUGCCCCGGACCGCCUCCUCCGCUCUCGCUGCAUCCAGUCGCCUUGACCUUGGCCUUGGCCGAGAUAGGGUCGGUGCUAGAUGCGUGGCCAGUAGAAGGAGGCCGGACGGAAUUGUGAGUUUUGGUUUCCCCCAAUCUCUUGCUGACCGGGAAACACGGGUGGGCUCAGAAUGCUGCGUAGCCCAAGGGGCCAGUAAGUUGAGAGCUCAGGGACUUUAAACGCCUUCCAUUUCGCCCAUUUUACAGGUAAGAAAAUUUAAACUCACAGUAAUAAGGUCGAAGCAGACCCUAGUCGUCGGAAGCGAAAUUUCGGGUUUGGGAACUUUUCUAUGGGCUCCAGCCUCUUUCAAGACGGCUCAAUCUUUAUGGAAGAGCAGGGAUGCAGAAGAGCAGUAUUACAAGACCUGUGAGUUCAUAAAUGUAAGGAGCUCCCAGUGUGGAAAUGUUUUCCACCAAUGCGGGAUUGCAGUCCAGUCUUAGAGAGCUGUCUGGGGAAUUGAGAGGUUAAAAAACACCCAGGUUUACACAGCCCUUCUGUUUCAGAAAGAGGACUUGAAGUCCGUCCUGACUCCCAGGCCAGCUCUGAUUCACUCUGCUAUGCUGCCCACUCAUCUACUCUGGUGAGGAAGGCGUCGGGCUUAAUAAGGGAACAUGAACCCAGGUUUCCUGACUCUUGGCUUAUUUUCGCUGCACAGGGCUUUUUCUAGAGCCUAAUUCUGUUAGAAUAGCAACUUUCUUUCCUUAAAGCUGACUCUGCAGGCCACAGAAGAAAGUUGGUUCCUUGGGACUUAACUAGUUGAGCAUUUUCUAUAUCUUUAGUAGCUUGAAAACACCCUCAUCCCCACAAUAGGUGCACAGUUACUGUUGUGCAACAGCUACCGAGUAAAGCUUUUAUGGAUCUGGGCUUUGGGAGAUAGAUAUGAUAGAAAGAUAGGCACAGAAACAGACACAGAUAGGUGAUGGACAGGGGACAGUUAUUCAUUUGGGUCUGACUCUUUGUGAUGCCAUUUGGAGUUUUCUUGGACCAAGAUACUGGAGUGGCUUGCCAUUUCUGUCUCCAGUUCAUUUUAUAUAUGAGGAAACUGAAGCAAACAGGGUUAAGUGACUUGCCCAGGGUCAUAUAGCUAGGAAAUAUCUGAGGCCAGAUUUGAACUCAGGAAGAUGAGUCUUCCUGUCCAGCACUCUAUCCACUGUGCCACCUAACUACUAGGUAGGUAGA
rnacentral:lncRNA from 1 species